ensembl:lncRNA
GAGAGAGAGAGAGAGAGAGAGAGAGGGAGGGAGACAGGCAGUGAGAGAGAGAGGGAGAGAAGCGCGGAGAGAGCGAGUGAGAGAAGCGCGGAGAGAGCGAGGGAGAGAAGCGCGGAGAGAGAGGGAGAGAAGCGCAGAGAGAGCGAGGGAGAGAAGCGCGGAGAGAGCGAGGGAGAGAAGCGCACAGAUUCUCCAGAGCUGCAGAUGCGCCUAAAUUUUCCUCGUUCGCCUUACCGAUGAUUCCCACUGUCUCCAGCUGAAUGGACGAUGUUGUCGGAAAACCCUUGGCUACAGCGGGAGGUCCCCUUACACAAUGGCAUCAUGUUCUAACAGAGGUAUCUACAUCGAAUGACAGCGGGGGAAAGAAAUGGCGGAGAAAUGGUUGUGGAUGUUAAUACCACGGAGGGGAUGCUGGAGCUCACGUGGGAAAGGUGCUGGACAAGGUAAAGCUGUCUUGCUGGGUGGUGGUGGUGUUGUUGUUGUUGAUGGUUGUGGUGGAGUAGUUGUUGAUGGUGGAGUUGUUGUUGGCGGAGUUGUUGUUGGUGGUGGAGUUGUUGUUGUUGGUGGUGUUGUUGUUGUUGUUGUUGGUGGAGUUGUUGUUGUUGGUGGUGGAGUUGUUGUUGGUGGUGGAGUUGUUGUUGUUGGUGGUGUUGUUGUUGUUGUUGGUGGAGUUGGUGGUGGAGUUGUUGUUGUUGGUGGAGUUGUUGUUGGUGGUGGAGUUGUUGUUGUUGAUGGUGGUGGUGGAGUUGUUGUUGUUGGUGGAGUUGUUGUUGGUGGUGGAGUUGUUGUUGGUGGUGGUGUUGUUGUUGUUGAUGGUGGUGGUGGAGUUGUUGUUGGUGGUGGAGUUGUUGUUGGUGGUGUUGGUGGUGGAGUUGUUGUUGUUGGUGGAGUUGUUGUUGUUGUUGGUGGUGGAGUUGUUGUUGUUGUUGGUGGUGGUGGAGUUGUUGUUGGUGGUGGAGUUGUUGUUGUUGGUGGAGUUGUUGUUGUUGGUGGUGGUGGUGGAGUUGUUGUUGGUGGUGGAGUUGUUGUUGUUGUUGGUGGUGGUGGAGUUGUUGUUGGUGGAGUUGUUGUUGUUGGUGGAGUUGUUGUUGGUGGAGUUGUUGUUGUUCUUGUUGUUGGUGGAGUUGUUGUUGUUGGUGAUGGAGUUGUUGUUGUUGGUGGAGUUGUUUGUGGUGGUGGAGUUGGUGGUGGUGGUGUUAUUGUUGUUGGUGGUGGUGGAGUCGUUGGUGGUGGUGGAGUUGUUGGUGGUG